UACGGAGGGUGCAAGCGUUGUCCGGAUUUAUUGGGUUUAAAGGGUGCGUAGGUGGCUUGUUAAGUCCGGGGUGAAAGGCGGUGGCUCAACCAUCAGCAGUGCCCUGGAUACUGGCAGGCUCGAGUAAGUUUGAGGCCGGUGGAACGGGUGGUGUAGCGGUGAAAUGCAUAGAUACCAUCCAGAACACCGAUUGCGGAGGCAGCCGGCUAAGACUUCACUGACACUGAGGCACGAAAGCGUGGGGAGCAAACAGG
rnacentral:rRNA from 1 species